rnacentral:sRNA from 1 species
UAAAUGCAGAGAUUGUGUGUAUCGGCUUAGUGCGAUGUAAUGCGCUUUGUACGAAAGAUUUCUCUGCGACAUUAAUUUGGGGCAGAUGGGCAGUUGUGAUUCAAUGUCAAUUGAAUAGCUCAACAAUCAUCUUCCCCACAAUUCGUUUGAUUCAACUUUACUCUAAUUGUAUUAGUUAGAUUAGAUAUACAUUUUGACGGGGAAAUUUGUGAAUUUAGCAAUUGUUGCAAGUUAUCUGUGAUGUUUUGAACUUAUAAUGAUCUACUUGAACUUCAACACCAC